ACGUACACUCCUGCGGGAGGCAGCAGUGGGGAAUUUUGGACAAUGGGCGAAAGCCUGAUCCAGCCAUGCCGCGUGCAGGAUGAAGGCCUUCGGGUUGUAAACUGCUUUUGUACGGAACGAAACGGCCUUUUCUAAUAAAGAGGUCUAAUGACGGUACCGUAAGAAUAAGCACCGGCUAACUACGUGCCAGCAGCCGCGGUAAUACGUAGGGUGCAAGCGUUAAUCGGAAUUACUGGGCGUAAAGCGUGCGCAGGCGGUUAUGUAAGACAGUUGUGAAAUCCCCGGGCUCAACCUGUGAACUGCAUCUAUGACUGCAUAGCUAGAGUACGGUAGAGGGGGAUGGAAUUCCGCGUGUAGCAGUGAAAUGCGUAGAUAUGCGGAGGAACACCGAUGGCGAAGGCAAUCCCCUGGACCUGUACUGACGCUCAUGCACGAAAGCGUGGGGAGCAAACAGGAUUAGAAACCCUGGUAGUCCCAUG
rnacentral:rRNA from 1 species